rnacentral:lncRNA from 1 species
GCCGAGCGGCUAUACUAUUACUGUGAUUUUUAUUUUAAAAUUGUUUUGCCUCGAUUUUUGUUUAUCGAUAAGAGUAGUUUAGAACAUUAUUCAUUAUUAGGCCAUUACCUGAGUCUCUAUUGUCUUCUUUUGAGUUUUUACUUUUCAAAAGUUAAUAUCCGUAUAAAGAAUUUAGCAUUUUCACGUUUAAUACUCGUAUUAUACAGAAAUCGUCCAUGCGUAGAUACCUCUUAUUGCCAUUGUCUUAGAAGACACCUCGUUUCUGUUAAAUGAUGUCAUUUCAAAGUCCUUACCAAACUGAGAGUUAGGGCUUCGAAACCUUAUAUGUUCUCCAUGUCGACUUUUGCUUCAAGAUUUCUAAUAUACUAUGAUGGUAAUUGUAUCAAUUAGGGAAAGUCAUCUUUUUUUUUUUUUGGUUUUUUUUUUACGUUGGGUCAAUUAAUUACCUCUUUCUUUUUCUGCAUGGGACGGAAUAAUUCGAACUCAAAACCACGUCCACGAAAGUGAAGGGUUAUAAAACGAAAUCAAUAGCAAAAUGGUUCUUUAUUUACACAAACAUCACCAUAUUAAUCCUCAAAACAGAAAACACAGACAACUAUAAUACUUUCCUUAAUGUUGGUUAACAUAAUUGGGUCUUUCUUAUAAUUAGGUAAACCAUUUUACCUUUUACAGAUGUGCCUAAUUUUUCAGAACCAAAAUAUUUAGGGCACAAGAGGAUG